GACGAAGGAUGCAAGCGUGAUCCGGAUUCAUUGGGGUUAAAGGGAGCGUAGGUGGCCUUAUAAGUCAGUGGUGAAAUCUCUGGGCUUAACCCAGAAAUUGCCAUUGAUACUGUAGGGCUUGAGUAUAGAUGCCGUUGGCGGAAUAUGACAUGUAGUGGUGAAAUACAUAGAGAUGUCAUAGAACACCGAUUGCGAAGGCAGCUAACGAAACUAUAACUGACACUGAGGCUCGAAAGUGUGGGGAUCAAACAGG
rnacentral:rRNA from 1 species